rnacentral:rRNA from 1 species
UUGAACGCUGGCGGCAUGCUUUACACAUGCAAGUCGAACGGUAACAGGCCUUCGGGUGCUGACGAGUGGCGAACGGGUGAGUAAUGCAUCGGAACGUACCCAGAGGUGGGGGAUAACGCAGCGAAAGCUGUGCUAAUACCGCAUGUGAUCUGAGGAUGAAAGCGGGGGACCGAGCAGCAAUGUUUGGCCUCGCGCCUUUGGAGCGGCCGAUGUCGGAUUAGCUAGUUGGUGGGGUAAAGGCCUACCAAGGCGACGAUCCGUAGCUGGUCUGAGAGGACGACCAGCCACACUGGGACUGAGACACGGCCCAGACUCCUACGGGAGGCAGCAGUGGGGAAUUUUGGACAAUGGGCGCAAGCCUGAUCCAGCAAUGCCGCGUGCGGGAAGAAGGCCUUCGGGUUGUAAACCGCUUUUGGCAGGAACGAAACGGUGUCCGCUAAUACCGGGCGCUAAUGACGGUACCUGCAGAAUAAGCACCGGCUAACUACGUG